CGGCAGCAACUGAUGUUGUUCAUUGCACCCCCACAAGAAACCUCCCACCGACCACAAACCUGCCUCCCAACCCAAAACCUACUGAAACAAAAAAUAAAGAAGAGGAUAUCCCAUACCUUCGAAUCAAUCAUGCUAAGAAGUAAGAACAUCACUAUUAAAUAGUUUGUUUUCAGAGCCGGUUCCAUUUCCCAUCACAGCAACUCCUUUAGUUCCCCAGGCCAGACUCUAUCAGAUCAACCCAUUGGGAUGAAAAACCCUGUUUCACUCCCUUUUCCUACCUCCUCGAGCCGAAAGCGGCUGUGACCCGACUAUGAGGAAGAAAACUCAAGAGAGGACCUUAUCUCCAACAUAACAAGGGCACUGGAAUCAUCAAGCUAUCCAGACAGUCUUGUGAAACGUAUAGCUGAUGCAAUUGGAGUGGGAGAGAGGGUUGGAGUGGAGUCAACCCCAUACCAUGUUGAGCUUCCUGACGACACUACUUUCGCAGGUGAACAUGGGGUUGAAGGGCAACCACAGGCUACCGUCGACCGGGUGCAUAUGCUUGUCACCUUGCUCACACUGGUGGCGCUUCUUUUGAAAAACCCAAAUACAUUCAAAAUGUAAGAUUUUCUUCUGGCGAGUAAUCCACAGAGGACUGCCAACAAUGGAUGUUUUAGGGAAAUGGAUCACAAUGGAGCAGACUUGUGGCAUAUGCAACUCUAAACCUAAAACUGUUUGGCACAUCUUCCUAUCAUGCGACUUUACUAAACGCAUAUGGGAGGCAUGCCCAUUGGGCCUUAAUACUGCAGCUCUCAGAGCAUCAUCCUUUCAGCAUAUAAUUAUGUAUUUCUUUUACACAAUUGCUAAACAAGAUUGAACUCUUUCUUUU